GCCUGUGUGCCCUCCAGCCUGUGCAACUUUACAUCCCACUAUGUGACUUUUGGGAACGGGAUCUCUGUGAGCGGGAAUGUCGCCUGCUGUGUCGGGGAGGCCUGCAAAACAGCCACUGUUAGCGUGCCUCCGUAUAACGCCACCCCGAACGGCCGGCGCUGUCCAGCCUGCUACUCUGUGUUCUCCCAUCACUGCAAUGAAGAGAUCAUCGACUGCACAGGCACCCAGACACACUGCCUGCAUAUCAGCACCACAGUGAAAGGUGAGACAAGCAUAAAGUCCACCAUAAAAGGCUGCGUCAGUGAGUCUGCCUGCACUAAUA